rnacentral:rRNA from 1 species
ACGAACGCUGGCGGCGUGCUUAACACAUGCAAGUCGAACGGAAAGGCCCUGCUUUUGUGGGGUGCUCGAGUGGCGAACGGGUGAGUAACACGUGAGUAACCUGCCCUUGACUUUGGGAUAACUUCAGGAAACUGGGGCUAAUACCGGAUAGGAGCUCCUGCUGCAUGGUGGGGGUUGGAAAGUUUCGGCGGUUGGGGAUGGACUCGCGGCUUAUCAGCUUGUUGGUGGGGUAGUGGCUUACCAAGGCUUUGACGGGUAGCCGGCCUGAGAGGGUGACCGGCCACCUUGGGACUGAGAUACGGCCCAGACUCCUACGGGAGGCAGCAGUGGGGAAUAUUGCACAAUGGGCGGAAGCCUGGUGCAGCAACGCCGCGUGCGGGAUGACGGCCUUCGGGUUGUAAACCGCUUUCGCCUGUGACGAAGCGUGAGUGACGGUAAUGGGUAAAGAAGCACCGGCUAACUACGUG